rnacentral:rRNA from 1 species
UACGGAGGAUGCGAGCGUUAUCCGGAUUUAUUGGGUUUAAAGGGUGCGCAGGCGGAUUUUUAAGUCAGCGGUCAAAUCGUGGGGCUCAACCCCAUCCAGCCGUUGAAACUGGGGAUCCAGAGUGUGCGAGAGGUAUGCGGAAUGCGUGGUGUAGCGGUGAAAUGCAUAGAUAUCACGCAGAACCCCGAUUGCGAAGGCAGCAUACCGGUGCACAACUGACGCUCAGGCACGAAAGCGUGGGUAUCGAACAGG